GAUGAACGCUAGCUACAGGCUUAACACAUGCAAGUCGAGCGACCGGCGCACGGGUGAGUAACACGUAUCCAACCUGCCCUUUACUCGGGGAUAGCCUUUCGAAAGACAGAUUACUACCCGAUUUAAAGGUUGGUGAUGCGUUCCAUUAGUGUGUUGGUUAGGUAACGGCCCACCAAGCCUUCGACGGAUAGGGGAUCUGAGAGGAAGGUCCACGAGAUUGGAACUAGGGCACGGUCCAAUCUGCUACGGGAGGCAGGAGUAAGGAAUAUUGGGCAAUGGGCGGUAGCCUGACCCAGCCAAGUAGCGUAAAGGAUGAAGCCUUAGGGGACGUAAGCUUCUAUUAUAUAAGAAUAGGUAUUAUAUGAAUAAGGAUCGGCUAACUCCGUGCCAGCAGCCGCGGUAAUUC
rnacentral:rRNA from 1 species